GGAUGCGAUCAUACCAGCACUAAAGCACCGGAUCCAUCAGAACUCCGCAGUUAAGCGUGCUUGGCGAGAGUAGUACUAGGAUGGGUGACCCCCUGGGAAGUCCUCGUGUUGCAUCCC
rnacentral:rRNA from 1 species